UGGUCCAGAGAUGCCUUACGGUGCAGCUGUCUUUGUCCUCUCCAGCUGUGCUCCCUGCCCACUGACCCCGCGCGCUCCGAGAACGUGGGGGCGGGGAGCCCGCAACCUAUAAAAUAAAUGGGGGCAAGGAGAAAGGAAGACCUUCCCGGGGCGGCGUGUGCCGCUCUCCUCACCCCCUCCCUUCCCUCUUUAGGCUUCCUCCCUCCGGUGUGUCCCUGGGGUCCAGGCAGGGGAGGGUCUAGGCAACGGCGCGGCGGCGGCAGCCGCUUGGGGAGUGCUGUAGGACCGCCUGCCCGAGCGUCCGGUCCGAGGGCGCAGGCAGAAGGAGGAGGCUCGCGGCCGGCUCACUCUCCUCCAUCUCUCUCCGGCUCGCCGGCUUUUGUGUCGGUGCCUCGGAGCGGCAAGGAGGGUGCGCUGGCGGAGGAGGGGGGCCUGGGGAGAGAGGCACCCCCUUCACGCGCGCGCGCACACGUUGCCGGCGCACGCACACACGCGCGGACAUACACUCACAGACACGCACACACUCACACGCACAAAGCUCGCUCGCCUCGAGCGCACUAACGUGGCCGUUUUCUUUGUGUGGAGCCCUCGAGGGGGGUUGGGGCCCGGGUCCGGUCCGGGGGAGAUGGCGCAGCCCAUCCUGGGCCAUGGGAGCCUGCAGCCCGCCUCGGCCGCUGGCCUGGCGUCCUUGGAGCUCGACUCGUCGCUGGACCAGUACGUGCAGAUUCGCAUCUUCAAAAUCAUCGUGAUUGGGGACUCCAACGUGGGCAAGACCUGCCUGACCUUCCGCUUCUGCGGGGGGACCUUCCCGGACAAGACUGAGGCCACCAUUGGCGUGGACUUCAGGGAGAAGACCGUGGAAAUCGAGGGCGAGAAGAUCAAGGUGAUCCAGACGGUCAGGUCCGGGAAGGGAGGGAUCUGGGAGGGGGGCCUCGCCCGAGGCAUCGCUCUAGUGGUUGUAAACGUCCAGCGCGUGGCCGUGUGGCCGCUUGCCGAGCCCAAGACCCUCGGCACCUCCUCAUUCCCUUUCGCUUCUCUCAGUGGCCUGGUUCCCACCUCACCCGUUUUGUUUUGCUUUUUAGGGCUGGCGGGAGUGGUUACAGUCCUGCCCUUUGCCCCUGCCUGA